GGGCACACCCCGGAGAGCUGCCCGCCCUCACCCGGGUGCUGGGGAGGAGCCGCUCCUCGGGUGCGGCUGGAAACAGCCUCAAAUCCCUGCCCUAAUCAUGGAAAAACAUCGCUGUUCGGGAAAGAGGGCGGGAACCAGUGGGGAUUUUCCGGGGGAAGCGGGGUUGUGUUUUUGUGUUCAAGUGAGUCACCAGGCUGAGGGGUGGAACAAGCAAUACAUGGUGCGACUUUUGGGGCUGUCCUGGGCAGGGCAAGGAGCUGAACUCGAUGAUCCUGGUGGAUCCUUCCCAACCCAGGAUAUUCCAUGAUUCCAUGACUCACAGGACAGGAUGCUCCAGUGUCAUGGCACCCCAGGGCAGGGCAAAGCACCCAGCCCUUUUCCAGACACUUGUGGUCAGUGACUGCUCUCUGUGUCACUGCACCUCUCCCGUGUCCUGUGGGGUGUCCCAGUGCCAGCCCUGGGGCUGCCCAGCCACAGCUGUCCCGGCUGGAGCUGGAGAUGCUGGACACAGCUUCCCAAGAGCUGCCACAUCCUGAGGCACUUCUGUGCCUCACUUUGCUAUCCCUGCACGAGGUGCUCCUCCCUUCCUUCCUUCUUGGCCAGGAGAUCGCUGGGAGCCAAGGGUGGAGUACAACAAAAAUAGAGCUUUAUUUUGGGACAAGUGCAAUCGGAGCUGGGUCCUUCGGCCCCGGCGUGGGGAUACAAGUGUGGCAAAGCCACCACGGGCCUGGCAGCGGUGCCAGGCACACACACCGGGUGUCCCUUUGCCAUGGCAUGUGCUGUGUCACAGCCCAGCACUGUCCCGUGUCACAGCCCACCACUGUCCUGGAGCGAUGGCAGCGGGUCCAGGCUGCUCCCGUGCCCUCGGCUGGGCUCUCACCAUCUCUGCCACGGAUGCCAGUCUGCAGCGAGCUGGGAGGGGUGGGGACAGCUGUGGGGGCUCAGGGGCGUGGUGGGGACAAGGACAACAUCGGCAGCACCACCGGCAGCCCCUGGGAUUGUCACGACACGGUGGGGACAGGGACAGGAGAGGGGACACACCCACCCUGUCCUGGGCGUUCGGUUCGGCCACGAGAACCGAGAGUACACAGAGAGCCAGGGGCCACUCCAGCCAGCAGAGCUCAGUAGUGACACACACACAGACACACAGACACACAGCCAGACACACAGACACGUCUGUUUGCCCAGGUGGGACAGCAGCUGGAUGCACGGAGCUGUGGAUCCAGAGCUGUGCCAGAGCCACGUCCCUGGGCCCUGUGUGCACACAGGGACAUGUGCAGAGCCAGUGCACAGCGGGACCUGCCAGCAGCACACACCUGCACACACACACACACACACACACACACACACAUACACAGCUGUGCACACCCAGCCUGCACACACCAGCACACGUGUGCCACACAGACACUGUGCACACACCUGUGUACGGCCUGGGGCAAUGCACGCGUGCCCACAAGCACAGACCUGCUUGCACACAGAGCCUGUGCACAUCAACGUGCACACUGACACGUGCACACCAAUGCAUGCACACAGAGCCUGUGCACACCAGCACGGGCACACCAACACAUGCAUACAGAGCUGUGCGCACCAACAUGUGCACACCAACACGUGAAUGAAGAGCCUGUGCACACCUAUGUGUGCAGUGUCAUACAUAUCAACACAGGCAUGUCCCACACAGGGCCAUGCUCACACCUGCAGAGCCUGUGCACACCCACAGGCACAGAGCUGUGCACAGACCCACACACACCCAAGAGUGUGCAAUUCCACACACGUGCACACAUCACGUGUGCACGUCAGCACGUCCGUGUGCACAGUGCUGUGCUCACCAGCACACCUGGACACUGUGCAAAGCAGGGUGUGUGCACUCACUUCUGGGCACACCAGAAAACACAACAUGCAAACAAACAUGCACACUGGCACACGUGUGCACCUCAGCAGCUGUGUGUGCACACAGAGCCAUGAACACUGGCACACACAUGCACAGUCACACACACACUGGCACACACACGUGCAGAGGAGUCACACACCCUGGGCACAUGUGCACAGUCACACACACCCUGGCACACACUGCAUA
ensembl:lncRNA